AUUGAACGCUGGCGGCAGGCUUAACACAUGCAAGUCGAGCGGAGAUGAGGUGCUUGCACCUUAUCUUAGCGGCGGACGGGUGAGUAAUGCUUAGGAAUCUGCCUAUUAGUGGGGGACAACAUUCCGAAAGGAAUGCUAAUACCGCAUACGUCCUACGGGAGAAAGCAGGGGAUCUUCGGACCUUGCGCUAAUAGAUGAGCCUAAGUCGGAUAGCUAGUUGGUGGGGUAAGGCCUACCAAGGCGACGAUCUGUAGCGGGUCUGAGAGGAUGAUCCGCCACACUGGGACUGAGACACGGCCCAGACUCCUACGGGAGGCAGCAGUGGGGAAUAUUAGACAAUGGGGGAAACCCUGAUCCAGCCAUGCCGCGUGUGUGAAGAAGGCCUUAUGGUUGUAAAGCACUUUAAGCGAGGAGGAGGCUACUGAGACUAAUACUCUUGGAUAGUGGACGUUACUCGCAGAAUAAGCACCGGCUAACUCUGUGCCAGCCGCCGCCGUAA
rnacentral:rRNA from 1 species